CACGUAGGGGGCAAGCGUUGUCCGGAAUCAUUGGGCGUAAAGAGCUCGUAGGCGGCUCAGUAAGUCGGGUGUGAAACCCUCAGGCUCAACCUGGGGACGCCACCCGAUACUGCUGUGGCUAGAGUCCAGUAGGGGAGUGUGGAAUUCCCGGUGUAGCGGUGAAAUGCGCAGAUAUCGGGAGGAACACCAGCGGCGAAGGCGGCACUCUGGACAGAUACCGACGCUGAGGCACGAAAGCUAGGGGAGCAAACAGG
rnacentral:rRNA from 1 species